rnacentral:rRNA from 1 species
GAUCAUGGCUCAGGAUGAACGCUGGCGGCGUGCCUAACACAUGCAAGUCGAGCGAGAAGCUCGUGACGGACGCUUCGGUUGAAGUCACGAGUGGAAAGCGGCGGACGGGUGAGUAACGCGUAGGCAACCUGCCCUUUGCAGAGGGAUAGCCUCGGGAAACCGGGAUUAAAACCUCAUAAUACCGCAGUGAGACAUCUCACGGCGGUCAAAGAUUUAUCGGCAAAGGAUGGGCCUGCGU